UACGUAGGGGGCAAGCGUUUGUCCGGAUUUAUUGGGCGUAAAGAGCGUGUAGGCGGCUAGGUAGGUCCGUUGUGAAAACUCGAGGCUCAACCUCGAGACGUCGAUGGAAACCAUCUGGCUAGAGUCCGGAAGAGGUGAGUGGAAUUCCUGGUGUAGCGGUGAAAUGCGCAGAUAUCAGGAAGAACACCCGUGGCGAAGGCGGCUCUCUGGUACGUGACUGACGCUGAGACGCGAAAGCGUGGGGAGCGAACAGG
rnacentral:rRNA from 1 species